rnacentral:rRNA from 1 species
GACGAACGCUGGCGGCGUGCCUAAUACAUGCAAGUUGAGCGCUGAAGGUUGGUACUUGUACCAACUGGAUGAGCAGCGAACGGGUGAGUAACGCGUGGGGAAUCUGCCUUUGAGCGGGGGACAACAUUUGGAAACGAAUGCUAAUACCGCAUAAAAACUUUAAACACAAGUUUUAAGUUUGAAAGAUGCAAUUGCAUCACUCAAAGAUGAUCCCGCGUUGUAUUAGCUAGUUGGUGAGGUAAAGGCUCACCAAGGCGAUGAUACAUAGCCGACCUGAGAGGCUGAUCGGCAACAUUGGGACUGAGACACGACCCAAACUACUACGGGAGGCAGCAGUAGGGAAUCUUUGGCAAUGGACGAAAGUCUGACCGAGCAACGCCGCGUGAGUGAAGAAGGCUUUAGGAUCGUAAAACUCUGUUGGUAGAGAAGAACGUUGGUGAGAGUGGAAAGCUCAUCAAGUGACGGUAACUACCCAGAAAGGGACGGCUAACUACGUG